GCAGUAUUGCCACCAUAAAAAUUGCGCUAUUACCCAUGGCUAACUCAGAGAGAAGGAAAACUAACCAAAGUACAUAACGCAAAACCCGUAAUAAUUUGCAAGCGUCCUGAACAUCUGAUCAAUCUUUAGUUUAUUCGCAGCAAUUUUCUUGCAAGCUGUUUGGACACAUGGACACCAAAUCGUGAAAAUUUGAAAAAAUUUUUACAAAUUCAACUUAGUAUACAGCUUUCAAGAAAAAAUCUGAAUAAAUAUUUUUCAUUACUCUUGUUUACGUUCAGCGGCGUUCGUGUCCUAGUUUUUAGAGAACAGGAUCGACUUCAAGUAAAAUCUGGGCCCGUAUCUCGUCAUUCGUGACCGAGUGAUUACUCGUUUCGAAUCGAGUCAAACAAAAUGGCAGCUGUUUUCUCCGCAAUACUAUAGCUAACAGGUAGAAACUUCAAGUUCGGACUCGUACGGGAUCGCAACGUACUCAUGCUUGGAAGGACUUUUUACACAGAUUGGUCUGCACUUGGUAUCAGCUGAGUUUGACACUGCACAUUUGUUUGUGCUCAUUACAGGGAA